CUGUUGAAUGCUCUGGACAUUCUGUUCUGAUAAAGCUGACCAUGCAAACUGCAUUCAUUCUCUUCCAAUCUAUAAGAGCCAACUUCCUGUAGCGACUCUUCACUCACUUUGUGUCAUCAAGUUCUGCUUCUUGUAUGAUCCUUUGGGAGGGAAUUUCUACCUCGUCGGGAAUGACCGAUGUGUACUGUAAACCAGCAUAUAGGGAGUUGCCUCGGUUGAUGUGCGGACUUUGGUGCGGUACCCCAAUACAACAAAUGAUAACUUCUCAUGCCACUGCUGGAAAUACUAUGGUUUUCUACUUGAAUCCUAGGGUUUUCAACUCAAAUCAGAUAGAGAGACGAGAAGACAAAUAACUUAAACAGGCUCAGAGGUCUCUUUUAGAGACUUUUUAGAAAACAAAUAGAUACAAUACUAAGUUCGAAGAAACAAAGUAAAAAAAUUGAUUCGAAACAUAGAGAGAGUAGAAGGAGCAUAUUUUAUGAAAACUUGGAACUCAAGCAUGUUCAGAAGAGCAAAAGAUGUAAUAUAGCACUUAAGAGAACAACUAAAAGAAAAAACGUUUAAAAAGAACUCAAAUAAUGGUCCAGUAAAAGGCAAACGAAGAACAUACAAACUCGGUAGGAAAUACAUGCAGUAGGAGAACAAAGAUAUUAGAAAAGUAUAUUAACAAGAUAUAUAGGAAAAAACAUAGCAGAAGGAACAUGCGAGCAUGGUGUAAAACAUAGAAGAAAGACAAGGCACAAAAGAACAUGUAUAGUAGCACAAACAAAAGAAAGCAGUAGAAGCACAUGCGUGACAAAUAUACACAAUGAAAAAGGAAAAGAAAAGUGGAAGAAACAUUUUGAACUUUUCAAAAAUCCUAAAUCGAAUAGCAGUAAUUUUAAUAGAAAAAGAUAGGGAAAAUGUUUUCAAAACUAAAGUGGAGCACAAAUAUAGACUAGAUUUAAGAAGACAAUCAGAGAAACAUCGAGUAUCUAGGGUUUCAGAGGAACCCUAAAACGAGAAAUGCUUGGAAAAGGUCAAAUCUUGAGUCGGAUAAAUCAGAACCAUGCUCGAAAUGCUUUGGAUACGUCAGACCUAAGCCGGAGAAACCACAGAACCUUGAAUCGGUGAAGAUCAGAAUGGACACCAUAAAGAUCAGACCUCAAAACUUCGAACACCAAGCGUUCAAGAGCAGAGGGAGGUGAAUAUAGACAAUCCAUGGCUUGAGAGGCCAUGGAUUCCGGUGAGUUUCAGGUUAAAAAUAGUAGAAGAUGAUUAGGAUUUCAAGAAAUUUGAGAGAGUUUGAGAGACAUAGGGGUUUCAGGGAU
rnacentral:lncRNA from 1 species